AAAUGAAUAAAAGGAGAAUUCAAAUGAAAUAUCAAAACACAAUGAUCAAUUGUGAAUCAACUCAUCAUCAACCAAUGUAAAACAGAAGAGACAUGAAGAUUAUAAGUCAACAAGUCAAACAUAGUUUUUUGGUAUUUUUGGAAUUAAAAUAAAUGCAAAAAUUAAAAUGGACAAAAUAUGGUCAAACCUCAAAUUCAAUUCAAAUCAACUUCAACAAGUCCAAUUGAAUCAUCAUAGGUCUAACAUGGUGAAACAAGGUUUGACAAAAUUUCUCAAC
rnacentral:lncRNA from 1 species